AUACAGGAUGAGAAAGUUGGCCUUUAUUAGUGGACCGAUUCAUUACCACUGUAGUAGUGUUAUUGAAAGACGGUAGAAAAGGAUGCAAGGCUCAUGGUAAACAAUCAUCUCUAAUAUAUUUCACAGACACAACUCAGAUUAAUUAUGCGAGCAGAGCAGACAUUUCUCUUAAUAGCGGUCAUGUGAUGAACGGUAAGUGCACACUAACUAUGCGGAGGCAGACUUAUUGGUGUGUCUGGGCCUAGGUUAUAACGGAGAGCAGGAUCAACUCCUGUAGUGCAGACUGUGCCUGUAGGGGACUUCAUUAGGCUGAUGAAGAUGACAGGUUUUACAGAUGCUUUUCCAUGGCCUGGGAGCAGAUGAAAAGGAAAACAAACUGGAGGCAUCUCUUUAAUGAGCUGUGGUCUGUUAGGUGCAACUUUAUAGUGGCACUAUGCAGGGGUGUCCCUCAAAUGUCUCUAUGGUCAAACGUGACACUUCCUUAGAUGGGAGACAUUAUAGUAACUAUCUGACCAGAUUCCUCAUAUAACAAGUCUUACAAGUUAGAUUUUUCAGAACAGGAUUCUCAUAAAAAUCUUGCCACUGUCCUGCUAUUUGUGUUUCGGUCCAAAAGCAGUGACCUAAAGUAUCAUGCAAAACAUAGACCUAACCUGUGCAGUCACAGUCUGAAAACAGCCCUCUUUAUUUAAUAACUCUCCUCAGGUCAUGGUUCCCACUACCUCCCUUCAGCCUCCAGUGACUCCCUGACCUUUGACGGUAGUCUGCGGCUCUCCAACGGCUCCUGUAUCAGUAGCUCUGUGAGUUCCCUGGACUCUGUGGCCAGCAAGGGGACUGACACCAGCAGCGACAGCCAGCGCACAGAGCCUACGCCAUACAGAGACCACCCACCGGCCAACAAGAACAACAUGGCAGAGAGAAGCUGCUACAAUGAGCCAGGGAAGGAUGGGAGGAGUGCUGUGGGAGAGGACCUGGGUCAGGCUGGAUCCAGGAAGGGGAGGAGUGAAGCUCGCAGCAACCAGAGAGAGAAACUGCAGUCGUGUGGAGAUCUAAGCCCAGGUCAACUCACCGUCCCUCCUCCUCAGAGAAGAGCUAAGUCACUGGACCGCAGGACCUCAGAGUCUGUCAUGACUGUGAGUGCUUAUUACUUCUGGAAUUUCUGUGCACUGAAAGCUGUAAAACAUGUCAGAAAACUGUCACAGU
rnacentral:lncRNA from 1 species